AAAAGGGGAUUGCAACGUGCUUGACUACUCCCCAAAGGUGCAUGCACCAUAAGCCAGUAACUGUUCAAAGAUCAGAACAAGAGCCAAGCAACUUGCUGCCUAAAGCCUGUUUGUGUCGGCAAAUGAAGGACAGCGAAACACAUGGAAAAGCCAGCAGUCAAGAUCACGGGCUGGGCAGAACAGAGGACAGAGAACCCCAGCCGAAGACCACCAGCAGCUGCUACGUCUGCCUCCCACCGCAUCUGGCUGACUGAAAGACCUCCAGACAGCGAUGGCCACUGCUUCACUUCUGCUUCGGAAAUCUCACUCAGAAGGAAUAGACAAGAACCAAGUGACACCCAACUGACAGAGAUACCACAGCUUGAAAUGUCACCUCUCCGCCCACCAACUCCACCCCAGCCCCUGGCCACCCACAGACUCUCUUGCAAAGCAAACAGCACACUGUGUCUUCAGUGAUUCCAGAAACUUCGCCUCUUGGAACCUGCUGGAACAUUUCCAAAUCAUGAUGAAAUUAUAAUUUCUCUCAUCCACACAGUCACCAAAUGACCCAUGUGAUGAGGAAUUUGCUAUCCACUGCAGACAAGACCCAACACCAGUAGAAUAUUCUGGCCCCAAGCUGUUCAAAGGAAAGCCUCUGUUUUUAAACCUCAAAUUAAAAGUCAAUAAAGAAAUCUGGCAGCUGGCAGCAAGACAUACGUGAACUAAAACCUCAGGUUGUUGUCUUUUGCCUUUUCCUUAGAACAAGAUGGGGUUUCUGCCUCUAUAGUGAUUUGAGUCACAGCAGAGGGACCGCAACUUGUUUUAGGAUCAUAGUCAAAGCUCUCACUUGAAGAACAGUUUGUAUUGCUAUGUCAAAGCCAGGGCUGCAUAUUAAAAUAU